rnacentral:lncRNA from 1 species
AAGGGAUUGAAGAAUUUCAGUUUUAAAGUUUUGGUUUUUUUAGCUUAUUUUCUUUUUAUUUCAUUCUUAGAUUGAAUUUUGUUGUCAAUAGUUUCUUGUUUCUCUUUAAGAUUUAUUAAUUUCACUCUCCAUGUAAUUGGUUUCUCCUUUCUUUUUUCUUUUUUUUUUCAAAUAUUGAUGUGUUUUUUCGUUAAUAUGAAUUUCUCUGCAUGUUGUGUGUCUUAAUCUUGAUAGGGUUUCUUUGUUGUAAUGCUUUUGUUUUAAUUUGUAGUGUAAAUGCCAUAUUUCCAAGUAAUGUUGCUGCCUAAUAUAUGUAAAUUUCUUCUUUCUACACUACUGAAGGCAUCUUUUUCUCUAUUUUAUGUCUUGAAAGUUUUUAUUGCAUAUAAGGGGUUACAAAUGCUUUUGCCUUCUUGCUACAACAACUGAUUUGUGACUGCUAGAAGCAUAUAAUAUCACAUUCUCGAUAUUUAGUAACUAAUCCUAUUAUUAAAUUUGGGGAAGCAGACCAUUUAUCUGGUUAAUGUUUGAAAUUAUUAUAGGUCUCAUUUAGUAACUAAUCCUACCUUGGCUGAUAUUUUUAAUAAAGUGUUGUUGAGAAAAAUUGGAUAUAUUUUUUAAAAUUUCUGUUGUAUAAUGUGUAGGGAUGG